rnacentral:tmRNA from 1 species
GGGGGCGACCGGCUUCGACGUGGGGACGGAGAAUGCAUCUGCGCGUGGCGGCUCCUGCUCCGCCUUACAAAGCGGGACGUUAUAAGUGCGAACGACAACGACACCAUUGCUCUCGCGGCUUAAUCACCGCUAGCAACGUCCAACGGCCAGAUCGUCCUGGUAGCCAGCGGGCGCCAAUCACUAGGGCUGGGUCGCGCGAGGGAGCCCUCGAUAGCGCGGCUGAGAUUGCGAGGGAUAGGUCGCGGCCGAAUCCGCGAGCCCAGUUGCUGGGGACGCAGCAACUACGCGCGUGAACGAAGGUGCAUUUGAAGCCUCGCGGACGCGGGUUCGAUUCCCGCCGCCUCCACCA